rnacentral:rRNA from 1 species
AUUGAACGCUGGCGGCAUGCCUUACACAUGCAAGUCGAACGGCAGCGCGGGAGCAAUCCUGGCGGCGAGUGGCGAACGGGUGAGUAAUAUAUCGGAACGUGCCCAGUAGUGGGGGAUAGCCCGGCGAAAGCCGGAUUAAUACCGCAUACGACCUGAGGGUGAAAGGGGGGGAUCGCAAGACCUCUCGCUAUUGGAGCGGCCGAUAUCAGAUUAGGUAGUUGGUGGGGUAAAGGCCUACCAAGCCUGCGAUCUGUAGUUGGUCUGAGAGGACGAGCAGCCACACUGGGACUGAGACACGGCCCAGACUCCUACGGGAGGAAGCAGUGGGGAAUUUUGGACAAUGGGCGCAAGCCUGAUCCAGCAAUGCCGCGUGCAGGAAGAAGGCCUUCGGGUUGUAAACUGCUUCUGUCAGGGAAGAAAUCCUCUAGGCUAAUACCUUGGGGGGGUGACGGUACCUGAAGAAUAAGCACCGGCUAACUACGUGCCAGCCGCCGCCGUAA